GCCCGCCUAGCUCAAUCGGAUAGAGCGUCAGACUCUUAUGGCAUGCUUCUUCGAUUGCUUAGUCGCAUCAUGGCUGCGAUAUGAAGAUCUGAAGGUUGCGAGUUCGACCCUCGCGGUGGGCU